rfam:Bombyx mori DNA, contig: Bm_scaf16_contig12349, strain: p50T/Dazao, build 2, whole genome shotgun sequence.
UUAACUCAAAUUUGUAUGAAGAUGGCACGUUUGCCGCUAGGAACGCUGUUCCAGCUGCAUACAAAUUUGAGUUA